rnacentral:sRNA from 3 species
GAAGAUGUUUUGGCGGUUAAGAGAAGAUUUUCAGCACUGAUUCAGAUUACAUCAGAACGUAAAAACGGUCUGAUAACAGAAUUUGCCUGGCGGCACUAG